GGGUGAUUAGCUCAGCUGGGAGAGCACCUCCCUUACAAGGAGGGGGUCAGCGGUUCGAUCCCGUCAUCACCCACCA
rnacentral:tRNA from 3 species